UCUCAUUGUGAUUUGGCUUCUCAUAUAUGUCUGCCUACUAGGGGAUAAUGCACUUCUAUAAGCUUUGACUAUGACAUCUCUUGGUGAAUAAAUAGCUCCUGAAUACCAUUGAGUUUCCUAUUUUUGUUUAUUAUCUAGAGAAAAAUGAGCUUGUUUUGAGUUCGUUUAGUUAGCCUGGACAGUCUCACAAGAUGUGACUAUUCCCGGACACUGGCUAACACAGGAACUCUCUGGGCCUUCAAAGUGGAGACCAGAGCCUAGAAAGUGUCAAACUAAUUGACAUAUGACUCAACAAGUUCCUGCCCAACUAUCUACCGUUCACCUUCUCUGGCCUGACCUAGACUUUGGGGGUCACUCCUUUCGGGACUACACUCACUAACCUCAGGAUUGCAGCUGGAGUCCACCAGUGAGAGGCACUAGCAGGAGAUGAGAUUAGGGUCUUUCUUCUCCUUGACUCACCCUGCAGGGUCAUAAUGGGCCAGUGCUCAUCAUUUUUAACCAUUCUGCAGCUUGUGAAAAUCUUCCCGCUUCCAGGACACCAUUCUAACAGGCAUGUUUGUGACCACUUGAAGGUUCCUUUUCAGCUCAUGCUGUUGUUCUUGAUCUCCUGCAGUGCACAUACCUCCAACCAGACAAGUAUGGAAAUCACACAUCAACAAGUAAAGUGAAUGGGGAAAGUCAACAAGAGAAAUAUGCAAAAAGUCAUGGCCGCACAGAGAAGGAGGCCACCAGCUCCAGUUGUCACAAAGGGCUUCACAGAGGACGCCUGAUGGGAAACACAUCGCAGGAAAGUUCCAUGCUGCCAAACGGUAAGAAAAGUUUAAUUUCAUCCUCAAAAGAGACUGAAAGCAGUUACAAAGCUUAGAAGCCAAGGUGCCACAUGAGGGUUGCAGACAUAUGAACAACUGCAAAAGCCAUUAUUUCACUAGGUUUAUGUAAAAAGACAACCCAAGAGCUUCAGUAAGGCACAAAGAAAACCAGCUCCAGAUAAUGCUUUGAAACCAUCUUUUAAAUGAACUGUCUUGGUGUCCUAUAGUUCAUCAAAGGUUUCCUGUCUCCAAAAGGUCAACAUUGUAUACCUUACCCUUUCUAAAUCUCAGAAUAUCUUUUCAGCUCCUCAUUUCAGAAAGGUGAGCAGGUGUCUCUCAGUCCUAACAAUCAUGA